rnacentral:misc_RNA from 1 species
AUGUUGUGAGUGUGAGUCUAUGAGAAUUCGGUGUUUGUUCCUUGUAUGUGAGAGUGGGGAUGAGAUGGUGUGUGUGUUUUGUUGUUAUUGAAGAUGUAAGUCGUACGGAUAAACUACAGCGAUGUGCGUAAUCAAAUAUCACAGAAACGAUGUAUUUCAUCGGUAAAGAUUUUACUGCACUGAGAAUAUAUAAUAUUGGUGUCGACAGACCGGGAACAAGUGUUGUAGUAUUCCCAAGUGGGCUGCGGCACUUUUGAGAACGCUCAAAUUGGUUGCGCCCUUUUCAAAUGGCACUCAACUUUUAAGUAACUACUUUACCAACAACGCAAGGCUGUGUUGCUGAUUUUGUAGUAUGGAGCUGCAGAAACUGUGCAUAAUUGUGAUAGCUAUGAAAAUAGUAUGAGACAUAAUACCAUCACGUCAUGCACAGAGAAUCCAGAGGAGCCCUCCAUUCUCACAACAGUAAACAUCAAGAUGAAGAAAUACUAUCAGUUAGUUUUGGUGAUUGUGUCUGUGGUUUUCAGAGAAUAAAUAUAGCUGCAGUUUAUUUGUGCUACUAUUCUGUACGAUACGUGAUCUUGAGGAGCAAAAGUGUACAUUGAGUAUUGGUGACAGUGAAGAAGUCAUCUUUGAGGGGAAGAGGAAAGGGAGAUGUGCAGAAUUGAAUGGAAGAACUGUAACUUAUUAAUUGUGAGUUUAUUAUGUAUGGGGAGUAGAAAGGGUAUGUAGAAGCAAGGCAAAUAACACUGCUACAUGUGUUGGGAAGAACUGCACCUUGCCAGCAUAGCAGCUGUGUGGCCUUGUUAUUGAAAGGAAAGAAUACGAUAAUAUUGAAAUUGAGUCGAUAUCCCUUUAUACUCAGAGUUGUCACUAUCAGCCGUCUAUGUUCACUGUAAAUUUUGGAUUUUUGGGUAUUAAGUAAAUAGAACUGCUCAUAAGUGCCUACGUAGUUGCUGAUGGAAGUCUUUUCAUAUUGAUCUACAGUGGGACUAUUGUUUUAGUUUGGUGAAGAUUAAGUAACAAAUUUAGUGUAACAUAGUGUCAAAUAUUAACAUUCUUUUGCUGUGGGAUGGUACUAAUGUUACAAAUGUACUGAAGCUGUCAUCGUAAAUAUCAUUUUAAUGAAGGAAAACUAUAAUUAUAGCCAAUAAGAAAUGUACUAGCAGAAAACGGCUCCCGUCCCAGUUCAGAGACCUUCUAGAUGUUGGGCAACCAUAAUCAUAUGAAUGCCUUAUUUUCUAUAAAUAUAAUAUUACUGACAGAGAAUUUUUGGACAAUCAACAUGUUUACUGUGUAGAAUUUGGCUAACCAGGCCUUGGAUCAUGACUGCACGGCUCUAUGCACAUUUGUAGCUGAAGUGAGUAGUAUAAAGUUGCAGUAGAACCUUUCUACAAUUUUUGAUACUGAAAUGCUUUGUUAGUAAUUGUCUUGUAUAUGCAUAAAGACAGAAAAAACUCAUUCUUGUCAUAUUUUUUGCAUUUUAUGUAUUUUGUUGUUGUGUAAUGUACAGUUUUGCUAUUAAAGUUAUUAAAAAUA